rnacentral:rRNA from 1 species
CUCGUAGGCGAUUCGUCGCGUCCGGUGUGAAAGUCCAUCGCCUAACGGUGGAUCUGCGCCGGGUACGGGCGGGCUGGAGUGCGGUAGGGGAGACUGGAAUUCCCGGUGUAACGGUGGAAUGUGUAGAUAUCGGGAAGAACACCAAUGGCGAAGGCAGGUCUCUGGGCCGUUACUGACGCUGAGGAGCGAAAGCGUGGGGAGCGAAACA